CCUACGGGUGGCUGCAGUGAGGAAUAUUGGUCAAUGGACGAGAGUCUGAACCAGCCAAGUAGCGUGAAGGAUGACUGCCCUAUGGGUUGUAAACUUCUUUUAUAUGGGAAUAAAACGUUCCACGUGUGGGAUUUUGUAUGUACCAUAUGAAUAAGGAUCGGCUAACUCCGUGCCAGCAGCCGCGGUAAUACGGAGGAUCCGAGCGUUAUCCGGAUUUAUUGGGUUUAAAGGGAGCGUAGGCGGAUUGUUAAGUCAGGUGUGAAAGUUUGCGGCUCAACCGUAAAAUUGCAGUUGAAACUGGCAGUCUUGAGUACAGUAGAGGUGGGCGGAAUUCGUGGUGUAGCGGUGAAAUGCUUAGAUAUCACGAAGAACUCCGAUUGCGAAGGCAGUUCACUGGACUGCAACUGACGCUGAGGCACGAAAGUGUGGGUAUCAAACAGGAUUAGAUACCCGUGUAGUC
rnacentral:rRNA from 1 species